UUGCUUCAGCAGCACAUAUACUAAAAUAGGAACGAUACAGAGAAGAUUAGCAUGGCCCCUGCGCAUGGAUGACACACAAAUUUGUGAAGUGUUCCAUAUUUUU
rnacentral:snRNA from 1 species